rnacentral:lncRNA from 1 species
GAUCACAUUAUUAUUACUCAUUGGAUUGAAAUAUUAUCCAAACUAAACCUUACCCAUUAUAAUUUUUUGUUAGGAACCUUCCUGAAGGGUUUUUCCUUAAAGCGUUAGCUCAUGCUCAUGCAGGGUAACAUCACUGCUACUGAGUUGGUGCAACUGAUAAAGUGCCUGUGCAGGU